UUUUAAGCAACGAAGAACCUUCAUCCAAGGAGCAGGUGCAGCACCAGCAGCUGGCUGAGCCGUGCUUUCUCCCAACAAGCUCCCUGCCAAUGUGCCUCAGCCCUGCCCAGUAGGAACCACCAUCUAAGGGGGUGAGGAGAGUAAGCAGGCCACUGUAAUCCCUGGCAUCU
rnacentral:sRNA from 1 species